rnacentral:rRNA from 1 species
AACGAACGCUGGCGGCAUGCCUAACACAUGCAAGUCGAACGAGACCUUCGGGUCUAGUGGCGCACGGGUGCGUAACGCGUGGGAAUCUACCCUUGGGUUCGGAAUAACUCAGAGAAAUUUGAGCUAAUACCGGAUGAUGUCGCAAGACCAAAGAUUUAUCGCCCAAGGAUGAGCCCGCGUAGGAUUAGCUUGUUGGUGAGGUAAAAGCUCACCAAGGCGACGAUCCUUAGCUGGUCUGAGAGGAUGAUCAGCUACACUGGGACUGAGACACGGCCCAGACUCCUACGGGAGGCAGCAGUGGGGAAUAUUGGACAAUGGGCGAAAGCCUGAUCCAGCAAUGCCGCGUGAGUGAUGAAGGCCUUAGGGUUGUAAAGCUCUUUUACCCGGGAUGAUAAUGACAGUACCGGGAGAAUAAGCCCCCGGCUAACUCCGUGCCAGCAGCCGCGGUAAU